rnacentral:rRNA from 1 species
UUCCGGUUGAUCCUGCCGGACCCCACUGCUAUCGGGAUGGGACUAAGACAUGCUAGUCGAGCGCCUCUAGCUAUGAUGAGGCGCGGCAUACAGCUCAGUAACACGUGGCUAACCUGCCCUUGGGACGGGGACAACCCCGGGAAACUGGGGCUAAUACCCGAUGGGUGAGAAAUCCUGGAAUGGAUUCUCAUUGAAAGGGUGUCUAAAUCAUGCUUUUAGAUGUCGCCCAAGGAGGGGGCCGCGGCCGAUCAGGUUGUUGGUGUGGUAAUGGCUCACCAAGCCUUUGACCGGUACGGGCCGUGGGAGCGGGAGCCCGGAGAUGGGCACUGAGAUAAGGGCCCAGGCCCUACGGGGCGCAGCAGUCGCGAAAACUCCGCAAUACACGAAAGUGUGACGGGGCUAACCCGAGUGCCGUCCGAUGAGGAUGGCUUUUCCUCAGUGUAAGGAACUGGGGGAAUAAGGAGAGGGCAAGACUGGUGUCAGCCGCCGCGGUAAUACCAGCUCUCCGAGUGGUGGGGACGUUUAUUGGGCUUAACGCAUUCGUAGCCGGCUGGGCAAGUCCUCCGUUAAAUCCAACGAUCCAAUCGUUGGGCUGCGGGGGAUACUGUCCGGCUAGGAGGCGGGAGAGGCCGACGGUAUUUCCGGGGUAGGAGUGAAAUCCUAUAAUCCCGGGAGGAUCAUCAGUGGCGAAGGCUGUCGGCUGGAACGCGCUCGACGGUGAGGGAUGAAAGCUGGGGGAGCGAACCGGAUUAGAUACCCGGGUAGUCCUAGCUGUAAACUUUGCAGGCUGGGUGUUGGUGUGGCUACGUGCCACUCCAGUGCCGUAGGGAAACUGUUAAGUCUGCCGUCUGGGAAGUACGGUCGCAAGGCUGAACUUAAAGGAAUUGGCGGGGGAGCACACAAGGGUGAAGCUUGCGUUUAAUGGACUCAACGCGGU